UGGUCCAGCGCUCGACUGCCUUUUUCUUCUGCCUCAGUCAUAUCCAGGCUAAAGCUGUCGCUGCAUUCAAAAGUGGCUGGGAGCUCAUUGAUGGAGCUGGAAAGGUCAUCCUCCUGUACGGUGGCGUCCUCUUCUUCCUGGACGGCAUCAGCCUGGGAGCAAAGGAGAGAAAGGAAUCCCCCAACAUCCUUUUCUGAGAGAGUUCCCAAAGAAGCUGUCAGAAGAUUACCAUAUUUGAUCCACACUUAAGGAGUAUAAAUGCUAAACUUGGAAGCAACCCCCCGGGUUGGACCUCCACUUUCAAAGAUGAGGAAGUAGAUGCUCCACACAGGAAAAGGACGUGCCUAAUACCAGCUCCACGUCCAGGAAGUCGAAGUCUCUGAAGACCCGGAACUGCUGCUCGCUGUUGGCGUCAUCCAUGUUCUCCUGCUCCCGGGCCCCGUCCUCGGACGACACCAGGCUCGUCUGAUGCUCCAGCAGGUCCAGGUCCCCGCACGACGAGAAGAUCACCUGUGAACCGAGAGGGCUCUCCUGAGAAACUACUCUCCCUUCCGUGGUUUGAGCUACAGAACCCGUAACUGGCUCCUCGUAGCACUGUAUUUCCAGUACACACCUAAUUCCUUAAGUGGGUAUUUUUAGAAUGUUCUUUUAUUAUUUAUG